CUGAGAUGGAAUAUUUUUUCUUUCAGUACCUUUGUUCUACUAUUCUGCAAAAUAGGGGAUGUUCUAGCAGCAUGGCUGAUUGCCUUGAGAAGAUGUGACAGCAACAAGGACACGUGUGAAGGCACUGUGGUUUGUAAGGGUGAUGCAUCUGGUGCCUGCUGUCACAGAAGAGGAAAACAAGUGGUGUACCACUGCUGAAGAGCUUGAGCUUGCGCACUGCCACAAUCUCUCUCCUCGUCUCUUACCCCACGUAUUGGGUGAUGGGGGAAAUUAUCUCACCCAGGCCUCCUCCCUCUCUGUUACACGGACCCACGUCUCCUUCAGAAGAAUCCUACCUACGUUCCCGAUGACAGGAGAUACAGUGUCCACAUGCACACGUAGAGUCUGUGGGAAGGCAUGAGGCAACCUACUGUUAUGCUCAGCUCUCAGCAGACUUCAAUCCCUGUGGCAACCACUAGCAAAUGCUUACAGGAAUCGUCAGGACAGUGUUUAACACAGGGUUGCCUUCACACUGAAUGCACUCACUGGAAAUAAAGAGGAGGGAGCAAAUCACAACUGCUUUGCCAAAGGAAUGCGGGGCCUCCAAUUCUGAGAAUCUCUGCCUCAGGAAUCAGGCAGUGUGAAUGGUAUUUAAAUGUUACUGGGGAAGGGAGGGGAAGGCAGGUGCCAGUGAAUCUCUCUCUCAUGACACGCCUGGUCGCCAAGGCCAGCAGUGUAUGGCAACUGCCUGAUCUGGAAGGGUCACUGCUGUUCUGCUGCUGCUGCAGCAGUUUGUGUGAGAGCUUGGGUCAUCUGAUUCAGGCAAAAUCAGCCAAGCUAGUGUAACCCAUUGAAACAUGCAGUGUGAGUUUCCCUGGUUCUUUUUAUUUGAAGAGCUCACACAAAAAUGUCUGCCCAGCAGAGCCGCAGGAAAGGGGCAGCAACAGGCAAGUGGGAGGUAGUGAAGGCUUAAAUCAGAGCUGUAUGAAACAUGAACAUCUGUGGUUCGGUCAUUUGUCAGUACAGUUGGUGUUUGUCAACGUGGUCAAUGAGGUCAUUUGUCAAAACAAAACUCCGCUGAGUUCCCAGAUGCCUCGUUCUUCCACGUUAACUUUCCUAACGUAAGUGCAGGAAUAAAAAGAAUGUUCUUGUCAUUACAAGAAUAAAUUCAUUAAAGGUUAGAGCGAAAUCCAAAACAAUUACAAGGAAGCAUUUACCUCUCCACAGACAACAUCUCUCUGUUAUUUUUUCCAGCAAUUUGGAAAACUAGUUAAAAAAAUGGAUUAUUGUACUCUGUUUUAAACUAAUCAGUAAUGCUAACAUUUGCUAUUUCCUAUAAACACUAUUUUUAAAAGCCUUUCUAAAUUGAUGUUUUUAAAUAAAAAUAAUUUUCUUACUCCCUUCAGUCAUCACAGGUCAUUGGGCAUGGGUAGCUGAGGAGGUUUAAUAGGUCAGAGUCUAUUUUCCCACUAGUUUGAUCCAAUUAGGUUAAGACAGCAGUGACUAAAAAGUGUUAGCAUUACAGAGUGACUUGACUCCUUUUCUCCAGGAGAAAUGUCUCUGAUCCCAUGAUAUUGAUGUACGAAUGCAGGUUCAUUGACCAGUAGCGACAUCCAUUAACUUAAAUGAGUUGAAAUGAUUGAAACCUAGUCCCUGAACAACAGGAGUUUGCAUCUUAUAACCUCUUUUCUCCACUAUGCCCCAGUCCCAUGUCGUCAUGCUGCCAACAGUUUCAGAAAAUUUAGGAAAACUAAAGAUGCAAGAAUUCACUUUUAAUCCAUAGACUGACUGUUCACCACUGUGACUGACAUAUGCUUCUUGGUAAACUCUAAAACACUUAUGAUGCAACUCUGUUCUGUGGAUAAACAGUGGGACAAGAUCCCCAGGAAGGGAAGAUUUUAAUAAAGCUUUUCAAAUACAUAAUGUUGUAAAGCCAGUGACCUUCCAAAGUGUCAAGCAUCUUUAAUACGUCUCCGGGUGAGUGUCUGAAGCAGAAGCCCACUGACCUAACAGUCAGGUCUGAAUACCCUGCCUCAGGGUGUUUUUCACAAACAACACAUACACAUACACUCUGCUCAUAGCAUCUGUCUCUUCCACUUGCCUGAGAAUGAAAAAAACCAAAUAAGGGAAAAAGAUCCUUAGUCAAGCUAUGAAAUAUGAAUAAUUCUUCUGUGAAUUGAACUUUGAAGCUUAAAUAACAGAGUGGUUAAAGUCUGGGAAAAUGAAAGAUGUGCAGUUUUAAUUCAGUGCUACCCCAAAAACUCAGUUAAAACAUUUAAACAUCUUUCUUUACUUCAACUAGAAUCUUCAAUGGACCAAAAGUGCCUCUGGGGAAUCAGCAAAGCGCUCUGCAAGAUCUGAAGAAGAUUCGGGGGGAGGAGACCAUGGGGGGAAUUAUCUGCACUUCAAAGAGUUUCCUUCAAUAUCACUAUUUCAGAUGAAGAUUUACAAAAUGUUUAUUAUUUAUACAUUUAGUUAUUUAAACAAAUGUAAUGUAUUACUCAGAUGAGAACAA